rnacentral:rRNA from 1 species
GACGAACGCUGGCGGCGUGCUUAACACAUGCAAGUCGAACGGAAAGGCCCUGCUUUUGUGGGGUGCUCGAGUGGCGAACGGGUGAGUAACACGUGAGUAACCUGCCCUUGACUUUGGGAUAACUUCAGGAAACUGGGGCUAAUACCGGAUAGGAGCUCCUGCUGCAUGGUGGGGGUUGGAAAGUUUCGGCGGUUGGGGAUGGACUCGCGGCUUAUCAGCUUGUUGGUGGGGUAGUGGCUUACCAAGGCUUUGACGGGUAGCCGGCCUGAGAGGGUGACCGGCCACAUUGGGACUGAGAUACGGCCCAGACUCCUACGGGAGGCAGCAGUGGGGAAUAUUGCACAAUGGGCGGAAGCCUGAUGCAGCAACGCCGCGUGCGGGAUGACGGCCUUCGGGUUGCAAACCGCUUUCGCCUGCGACGAAGCGUGAGUGACGGUAAUGGGUAAAGAAGCACCGGCUAACUACGUG